UACGGGGGGAGCAAGCGUUGUUCGGAUUUACUGGGCGUAAAGGGCGUGCAGGCGGUUUGUUAAGUGCAGAGUGAAAGCUCCCGGCUCAACUGGGAGAGGUCUUUGCAUACUGGCAAACUCGAGGGAGGCAGAGGAAAGUGGAAUUCCCGGUGUAGUGGUGAUAUGCGUAGAUAUCGGGAGGAACACCUGUGGCGAAGGCGGCUUUCUGGGCCUUACCUGACGCUGAGACGCGAAAGCGUGGGGAGCGAACCGG
rnacentral:rRNA from 1 species